rnacentral:rRNA from 1 species
UCCUACGGGAGGCAGCAGUGGGGAAUUUUCCGCAAUGGGCGCAAGCCUGACGGAGCAAUGCCGCGUGGAGGAUGAAGGCCCGUGGGUUGUAAACUCCUUUUCUUAGAGAAGAAGCCCUGACGGUAUCUAAGGAAUAAGCAUCGGCUAACUCCGUGCCAGCAGCCGCGGUAAUACGGAGGAUGCAAGCGUUAUCCGGAAUCAUUGGGCGUAAAGGGUCCUGAGGUGGUUUGCUAAGUCUACUGUGAAAGAUCAGGGCUCAACCCUGAAGAUGCGGUGGAAACUGGCAGGCUAGAAUACGGUAGGGGCAGGGGGAAUUCCCGGUGUAGCGGUGAAAUGCAUAGAUAUCGGGAAGAACACCAAAGGCGAAGGCACCCUGCUGGCCGAUAUGACACUGA